GCGACUAAGCGUACACGGUGGAUGCCCUGGCAGUCAGAGGCGAUGAAGGGCGUACUAAUCUGCGAUAAGCGCCGGUAAGGUGAUAUGAACCGUUAUAACCGGCGAUACCCGAAUGGGGAAACCCAGUGUGAUUCGUCACACUAUCAUUAACUGAAUCCAUAGGUUAAUGAGGCGAACCGGGGGAACUGAAACAUCUAAGUACCCCGAGGAAAAGAAAUCAACCGAGAUUCCCCCAGUAGCGGCGAGCGAACGGGGAGGAGCCCAGAGCCUGAAUCAGCAUGUGUGUUAGUGGAAGCGUCUGGAAAGGCGCGCGAUACAGGGUGACAGCCCCGUACACAAAAGCGCAUGUGCUGUGAGCUCGAUGAGUAGGGCGGGACACGUGGUAUCCUGUCUGAAUAUGGGGGGACCAUCCUCCAAGGCUAAAUACUCCUGACUGACCGAUAGUGAACCAGUACCGUGAGGGAAAGGCGAAAAGAACCCCGGCGAGGGGAGUGAAAAAGAACCUGAAACCGUGUACGUACAAGCAGUGGGAGCACCCUUUGGGUGUG
rnacentral:rRNA from 1 species